AUUGAACGCUGGCGGCAGGCCUAACACAUGCCAGUCGAGCGGAUGAAGGGAGCUUGCUCCUGGAUUCAGCGGCGGACGGGUGGGUAAUGCCUAGGAAUCUGCCUGGUAGUGGGGGAUAACGUCCGGAAACGGGCGCUAAUACCGCAUACGUCCUGAGGGAGAAAGUGGGGGAUCUUCGGACCUCACGCUAUCAGAUGAGCCUAGGUGGGAUUAGCAAGUUGGUGGGGUAAAGGCCUACCAAGGCGACGAUCCGUAACUGGUCUGAGAGGAUGAUCAGUCAAACGGGAACUGAGACACGGUCCAGACUCCUACGGGAGGCAGCAGUGGGGAAUAUUGGACAAUGGGCGAAAGCCUGAUCCAGCCAUGCCGCGUGUGUGAAGAAGGUCUUCGGAUUGUAAAGCACUUUAAGUUGGGAGGAAGGGCAGUAAGUUAAUACCUUGCUGUUUUGACGUUACCAACAGAAUAAGCACCGGCUAACUUCGUG
rnacentral:rRNA from 1 species